GCCUCGGUGGCUCAGUCGGUUAAGCUCCUGGCUUCCGCUCAGGUCACAAUCUCAGUUCGUGAGUUCGAGCCUCGCUUCGGGCC
rnacentral:tRNA from 1 species